AACUUUGCGGAGGGGAGGUGGCUGAAGACAGAGAUAACGUGUUGAAGAUGGCAGAGUAAAAUGAGAAAGCAGUUUGGUCCAUGAUGACACUGUUGAACUGAUAGAUUUACGAGCCUGGCAUCUGUCAACCUCUGGACUCCUUCCAAGAAGAGCGCUCUUAAGUAGUUGGAAGUUCAUCUCUGAGUGACAUGUGAACCUUCUGAAGAAGGAAUUGAGCAUUUUCCAGGUAGAAGAAAGCACCAUUGCUCCUGAGCAGAGGUCCUCACUCAGGUCUUAAACCGUCUGCAAAUAUUGGUGCUUACAGUGCAGAUGAUGCCAAAAAUUUGUCUUAACCAAUGCAGAGGCUGAAGAAAGAGAGGCAGCCUCACCCAGCCUGAAGGUACAGCUCCAGAAGGGGAAUGACACCAUGAGAACCACAUAACACGGGACUGCUGACAUUCUCGCUGGCCUUAUUAUUCUAAAUUGAAGGGAGCGCCUCUUCUCCCAUCUUGUAAACCAGUCUUUGUUUUUUAAAACCUACGCAGUGGUGAGAAGAGAUCUCUGCUUUGACCAGCUCCUACUGAAUUGCAUAGGAUAAGAAAUAAGUACGUGAACUUCCAAGAUGAUUGUAAUUUGUAAAGGAAGCACUACAGUUUCAUUUUUGUCAUUAUUAAGAUUGUGCUUUGGAAACAUAACUGGCUGAUGAAAAAUAGAAUCUUUGCUGUUUUUAAUCAUAAUAGCCACUUACAUUAUUAGAGUGCUUUGAAGUACUCCAAUGGAUAAAAUGAAUGAAAAGUAACUUGAAGUGUUCUAAGAAGGUACUCAUUCAAGUCAUGUUGUAAACCUAAUAUAGUGACUCUGUAGGAUAAAGUGAAUAUAAUUGGAUCGGGUCACAUGCUUUCUGCAGUGUUCAUGUUCAGUGUGUCAUCUCAAAAUGCUUGAUAUAUGUUUUAUAUAAUCAUCUGUCUCUAAGUACUGUACUUACCUAAUCCAUUACUUUGGUAAUCAUUUGAGUGUUUCCAUUAUAAAGCAAUGAAUCAUAAUUCAGGCUGAAGCUAUUGCACAUAUUCAAAACAGAAAAGUGUCUGUGCUCUGUAAUCUAUUAGAAAUCUUUGGUGCUGUUUGGCAUGGAAAAAACCUAGAAACAUCACCAUUCCCUAGCAUAAGCUGUGAAAGUUACCGAAGUUCUCAUGGAGUCUGGGCGUUGAAGACAAAGUAGAUGAUGCUCCGUCCUAUUUCUGUGUGGUGUGUGAUUUGGGGGGAAAAAAACAGAAGAGAUUAAUGAAAAUAUGUAAAAUCCAUGUUGGAGCAGAACCAAAGUCAAGUGAAAAAAAAUGAU